CCGAGUUUACAACUCCCAAACCCCUGUGAACAUACCUUUAGUGUUGCCUCGGCGGAUCAGCCCGCGCCCCGUAAAACGGGACGGCCCGCCGCAGGAAACCCUAAACUCUGUUUUUAGUGGAACUUCUGAGUAUAAAAAACAAAUAAAUCA
rnacentral:misc_RNA from 1 species